rnacentral:rRNA from 1 species
UUAAGCGACUAAGCGUACACGGUGGAUGCCCUGGCAGUCAGAGGCGAUGAAGGACGUGCUAAUCUGCGAUAAGCGUCGGUGAGGUGAUAUGAACCGUUAUAACCGGCGAUUUCCGAAUGGGGAAACCCAGUGUGAUUCGACACACUAUCAUUAACUGAAUCCAUAGGUUAAUGAGGCGAACCGGGGGAACUGAAACAUCUAAGUACCCCGAGGAAAAGAAAUCAACCGAGAUUCCCCCAGUAGCGGCGAGCGAACGGGGAGGAGCCCAGAGCCUGAAUCAGUGUGUGUGUUAGUGGAAGCGUCUGGAAAGGCGCGCGAUACAGGGUGACAGCCCCGUACACAAAAAUGCACAUACUGUGAGCUCGAUGAGUAGGGCGGGACACGUGGUAUCCUGUCUGAAUAUGGGGGGACCAUCCUCCAAGGCUAAAUACUCCUGACUGACCGAUAGUGAACCAGUACCGUGAGGGAAAGGCGAAAAGAACCCCGGCGAGGGGAGUGAAAAAGAACCUGAAACCGUGUACGUACAAGCAGUGGGAGCCUCUUAAUGGGGUGACUGCGUACCUUUUGUAUAAUGGGUCAGCGACUUAUAUUCUGUAGCAAGGUUAACCGAAUAGGGGAGCCGAAGGGAAACCGAGUCUUAACUGGGCGUUAAGUUGCAGGGUAUAGACCCGAAACCCGGUGAUCUAGCCAUGGGCAGGUUGAAGGUUGGGUAACACUAACUGGAGGACCGAACCGACUAAUGUUGAAAAAUUAGCGGAUGACUUGUGGCUGGGGGUGAAAGGCCAAUCAAACCGGGAGAUAGCUGGUUCUCCCCGAAAGCUAUUUAGGUAGCGCCUCGUGAAUUCAUCUCCGGGGGUAGAGCACUGUUUCGGCAAGGGGGUCAUCCCGACUUACCAACCCGAUGCAAACUGCGAAUACCGGAGAAUGUUAUCACGGGAGACACACGGCGGGUGCUAACGUCCGUCGUGAAGAGGGAAACAACCCAGACCGCCAGCUAAGGUCCCAAAGUCAUGGUUAAGUGGGAAACGAUGUGGGAAGGCCCAGACAGCCAGGAUGUUGGCUUAGAAGCAGCCAUCAUUUAAAGAAAGCGUAAUAGCUCACUGGUCGAGUCGGCCUGCGCGGAAGAUGUAACGGGGCUAAACCAUGCACCGAAGCUGCGGCAGCGACACUAUGUGUUGUUGGGUAGGGGAGCGUUCUGUAAGCCUGUGAAGGUGUACUGUGAGGUAUGCUGGAGGUAUCAGAAGUGCGAAUGCUGACAUAAGUAACGAUAAAGCGGGUGAAAAGCCCGCUCGCCGGAAGACCAAGGGUUCCUGUCCAACGUUAAUCGGGGCAGGGUGAGUCGACCCCUAAGGCGAGGCCGAAAGGCGUAGUCGAUGGGAAACAGGUUAAUAUUCCUGUACUUGGUGUUACUGCGAAGGGGGGACGGAGAAGGCUAUGUUGGCCGGGCGACGGUUGUCCCGGUUUAAGCGUGUAGGCUGGUUUUCCAGGCAAAUCCGGAAAAUCAAGGCUGAGGCGUGAUGACGAGGCACUACGGUGCUGAAGCGACAAAUGCCCUGCUUCCAGGAAAAGCCUCUAAGCAUCAGGUAACAUUAAAUCGUACCCCAAACCGACACAGGUGGUCAGGUAGAGAAUACCAAGGCGCUUGAGAGAACUCGGGUGAAGGAACUAGGCAAAAUGGUGCCGUAACUUCGGGAGAAGGCACGCUGAUAUGUAGGUGAAGCGACUUGCUCGUGGAGCUGAAAUCAGUCGAAGAUACCAGCUGGCUGCAACUGUUUAUUAAAAACACAGCACUGUGCAAACACGAAAGUGGACGUAUACGGUGUGACGCCUGCCCGGUGCCGGAAGGUUAAUUGAUGGGGUUAGCGGCAACGCGAAGCUCUUGAUCGAAGCCCCGGUAAACGGCGGCCGUAACUAUAACGGUCCUAAGGUAGCGAAAUUCCUUGUCGGGUAAGUUCCGACCUGCACGAAUGGCGUAAUGAUGGCCAGGCUGUCUCCACCCGAGACUCAGUGAAAUUGAACUCGCUGUGAAGAUGCAGUGUACCCGCGGCAAGACGGAAAGACCCCGUGAACCUUUACUAUAGCUUGACACUGAACAUUGAGCCUUGAUGUGUAGGAUAGGUGGGAGGCUUUGAAGUGUGGACGCCAGUCUGCAUGGAGCCGACCUUGAAAUACCACCCUUUAAUGUUUGAUGUUCUAACGUGGGCCCGUAAUCCGGGUUGCGGACAGUGUCUGGUGGGUAGUUUGACUGGGGCGGUCUCCUCCUAAAGAGUAACGGAGGAGCACGAAGGUUGGCUAAUCCUGGUCGGACAUCAGGAGGUUAGUGCAAUGGCAUAAGCCAGCUUGACUGCGAGCGUGACGGCGCGAGCAGGUGCGAAAGCAGGUCAUAGUGAUCCGGUGGUUCUGAAUGGAAGGGCCAUCGCUCAACGGAUAAAAGGUACUCCGGGGAUAACAGGCUGAUACCGCCCAAGAGUUCAUAUCGACGGCGGUGUUUGGCACCUCGAUGUCGGCUCAUCACAUCCUGGGGCUGAAGUAGGUCCCAAGGGUAUGGCUGUUCGCCAUUUAAAGUGGUACGCGAGCUGGGUUUAGAACGUCGUGAGACAGUUCGGUCCCUAUCUGCCGUGGGCGCUGGAGAACUGAGGGGGGCUGCUCCUAGUACGAGAGGACCGGAGUGGACGCAUCACUGGUGUUCGGGUUGUCAUGCCAAUGGCACUGCCCGGUAGCUAAAUGCGGAAGAGAUAAGUGCUGAAAGCAUCUAAGCACGAAACUUGCCCCGAGAUGAGUUCUCCCUGAGCCUUUAAGGGUCCUGAAGGAACGUUGAAGACGACGACGUUGAUAGGCCGGGUGUGUAAGCGCAGCGAUGCGUUGAGCUAACCGGUACUAAUGAACCGUGAGGCUUAACCUU